UACGUAGGGUGCAAGCGUUGUCCGGAAUUAUUGGGCGUAAAGAGCUCGUAGGCGGUUUGUUGCGUCGGCUGUGAAAUCCCGAGGCUCAACCUCGGGUCUGCAGUCGAUACGAGCAAACUAGAGUGUUGCAGGGGAGACUGGAAUUCCUGGUGUAGCGGUGAAAUGCGCAGAUAUCAGGAGGAACACCGGUGGCGAAGGCGGGUCUCUGGGCAACAACUGACGCUGAGGAGCGAAAGCGUGGGGAGCGAACAG
rnacentral:rRNA from 1 species